AACGAGCGCUGGCGGCAGGCCUAACACAUGCAAGUCGAGCGCGCCCUUCGGGGUGAGCGGCGGACGGGUGAGUAACGCGUGGGAACGUGCCCUUCUCUGCGGAAUAGCCUCGGGAAACUGAGAGUAAUACCGCAUACGCCCUUUGGGGGAAAGAUUUAUCGGAGAAGGAUCGGCCCGCGUUGGAUUAGGUAGUUGGUGGGGUAAUGGCCCACCAAGCCGACGAUCCAUAGCUGGUUUGAGAGGAUGAUCAGCCACACUGGGACUGAGACACGGCCCAGCCUCCUACGGGAGGGAGGAGUGGGGAAUCUUAGACAAUGGGGGCAAACCUGAUCUAGCCAUGCCGCGUGAGUGAUGAAGGCCUUAGGGUUGUAAAGCUCUUUCAGCUGGGAAGAUAAUGACGGUACCAGCAGAAGAAGCCCCGGCUAACUCCGUG
rnacentral:rRNA from 1 species